rnacentral:rRNA from 1 species
AUACGGAGGAUCCAAGCGUUAUCCGGAUUUAUUGGGUUUAAAGGGAGCGUAGGCGGACGCUUAAGUCAGUUGUGAAAGUUUGCGGCUCAACCGUAAAAUUGCAGUUGAUACUGGGUGUCUUGAGUACAGUAGAGGCAGGCGGAAUUUGUGGUGGUGAGGUGAAAUGCUUAGAUAUCACGAAGAACUCCGAUUGCGAAGGCAGCCUGCUGCACUGUAACUGACGCUGAUGCUCGAAAGUGUGGGUAUCAAACAGGAUUAGAUACCCUGGUAGUCCACACAGUAAACGAUGAAUACUCGCUGUUUGCGAUAUACAGUAAGCGGCCAAGCGAAAGCGUUAAGUAUUCCACCUGGGGAGUACGCCGGCAACGGUGAAACUCAAAGGAAUUGACGGGG